rnacentral:rRNA from 1 species
UAGCGUUUGAUCAUGGCUCAGAUUGAACGCUGGCGGCAUGCCUUACACAUGCAAGUCGAACGGCAGCACGGGAGCUUGNNNNUGGUGGCGAGUGGCGAACGGGUGAGUAAUACAUCGGAACGUACCCAGGAGUGGGGGAUAACGUAGCGAAAGUUACGCUAAUACCGCAUAUUCUGUGAGCAGGAAAGCAGGGGAUCGCAAGACCUUGCGCUGAUUGAGCGGCCGAUAUCAGAUUAGCUAGUUGGUGGGGUAAAGGCCUACCAAGGCGACGAUCUGUAGCGGGUCUGAGAGGAUGAUCCGCCACACUGGGACUGAGACACGGCCCAGACUCCUACGGGAGGCAGCAGUGGGGAAUUUUGGACAAUGGGCGCAAGCCUGAUCCAGCCAUGCCGCGUGAGUGAAGAAGGCCUUCGGGUUGUAAAGCUCUUUCGGCCGGGAAGAAAUCGCAUGGGCUAAUACCCUGUGUGGAUGACGGUACCGGAAUAAGAAGCACCGGCUAACUACGUGCCAGCAGCCGCGGUAAUACGUAGGGUGCGAGCGUUAAUCGGAAUUACUGGGCGUAAAGCGUGCGCAGGCGGUUUUUUAAGAUAGGCGUGAAAUCCCCGGGCUCAACCUGGGAACUGCGCUUAUGACUGGAAGACUAGAGUAUGGCAGAGGGGGGUGGAAUUCCACGUGUAGCAGUGAAAUGCGUAGAGAUGUGGAGGAACACCGAUGGCGAAGGCAGCCCCCUGGGCCAAUACUGACGCUCAUGCACGAAAGCGUGGGGAGCAAACAGGAU